GACGAACGCUGGCGGCGUGCUUAACACAUGCAAGUCGAACGGAAAGGCCUUGCUUUUGUGGGGUGCUCGAGUGGCGAACGGGUGAGUAACACGUGAGUAACCUGCCUUUGACUUUGGGAUAACUUCAGGAAACUGGGGCUAAUACCGGAUAGGAGCUCCUGCUGCAUGGUGGGGGUUGGAAAGUUUCGGCGGUUGGGGAUGGUCUCGCGGCUUAUCAGCUUGUUGGUGGGGUAGUGGCUUACCAAGGCUUUGACGGGUAGCCGGCCUGAGUGGGUGACAGGCCACAUUGGGGCUGAGAUACGGCCCAGACUCCUACGGGAGGCAGCAGUGGGGAAUAUUGCACAAUGGGCGGAAGCCUGAUGCAGCAACGCCGCGUGCGGGAUGACGGCCUUCGGGUUGUAAACCGCUUUCGCCUGUGACGAAGCGUGAGUGACGGUAAUGGGUAAAGAAGCACCGGCUAACUACGUG
rnacentral:rRNA from 1 species